GAGACAGUUCGGUCCCUAUCUGUCGUGGGCGUUGGAUAUUUGAGAGGAGUUGACCUUAGUACGAGAGGACCGGGUCGAACGCACCUCCGGUGCAUCAGUUGUUCUGCCAAGGGCAUAGCUGAGUAGCCGCGUGCGGAUGUGAUAAACGCUGAAGGCAUCUAAGCAUGAAGCACACCUCAAGAUUAGAUAUCCCAUCUCUUUAAGAGAGUAAGGUCACUUGUAGACUACGAGUUUGAUAGGUCGCGUGUGUAAGCGCAGUAAUGUGUUUAGCUAAGCGAUACUAAUUGACCGAGGGCUUGAACUA
rnacentral:rRNA from 1 species